AUACGGAGGGUGCAAGCGUUACUCGGAAUCACUGGGCGUAAAGCGCGCGCAGGCGGCUAUUUAAGUUGGAUGUGAAAGCCUACGGCUCAACCGUAGAACUGCAUCCAAAACUAUUUAGCUAGAGUGUGGGAGAGGAAGAUGGAAUUAGUUGUGUAGGGGUAAAAUCCGUAGAGAUAACUAGGAAUACCAAAAGCGAAGGCAAUCUUCUGGAACACUACUGACGCUGAGGCGCGAAAGCGGGGGGAGCAAACGGAAUUAGAAACCCUAGUAGUCC
rnacentral:rRNA from 1 species